AGAACUGACCACAUGACCCAGGCCAACUAGUAUCUAGCUCUCUAACUGCCUUGGGCCAUCAAAACUCCCAAAUCAAAUAUUGUUGACCUGGCUUGUGUCAAGUGCCCAUCACUGAAUUAGUCACUAUGGCCAGGAGCAGAUGGGCCCUCACUAGACAGAACUGGUCUGUGGCCGCCCAUGGUGCCCGGGGUGAGGGCAGCUCCACCUGAACACAGAGAGUGGCAAAGGCAAAGUUUCCUGACAUAGACGUUCCUGUUCCAUUUGUCCCGCAAACGUUUAAACAUCACACAUACUUGGUUAAGAACUCAGCAUAUCGGAGGCCCCCAAUUAAGCCUUGUCCUUCCAACUGACACUUCAUACCUCUCCCACCAUCAUCUCCCAGUGCACCAGGGUCACUUGCUGGGGCCAGGAUAGGAAAUCCCAGAUACAAACUCUCCCUUCAAGGAUUUUUUUUUUACCCCACCAGAGCUCUCCACUGCUCCAGGAGAAGAAACAAAGGAUUGGGUCUGAGAGCUGGGUGAGAUUACAUUUAUCUAAGAAGCUUCCAAAUGAAAACUAGCAUUUGUACUUAUUGCAUUUCACCUCCAAAUUUGAUUACAUUUCUCUCCCGCUGUAAAUCUGCCUUUCCUUCUGCCAAGUUAUUAUUAAAUCCAGGACAGAAUUGGUGGAGUGAUACGUAAAAUUUCCAUCUUGGCUUUGACAUUCCAGGAAGUUACAAACCAAUUACAGCUGCUGAGCCUCAGGCCUUUAUGAAUCACAGAGCACAGCAAGGGAUGGAGGAGGCCAGAGUGGGGACGGGAGGGAGACAGUGAGGUGGGAAUCAAAGGUCAAUUAAAAUAAAACAGUCAAUUUUAAUUUGAAUGUCUUGCU
rnacentral:lncRNA from 1 species